AGCUAAAACUAAUUGUACGCUGUGAUACUGAGUGAAUUCUACAUUUUUGUUUUAAUAAUUUCAUGACACUCGCAUACAUUGCCAAAAACGUAAAUAACAUGUAAUCUUAUUUUAGAUUCACCCUCGCACCAGACGUAACUAACCCGACUCUACUGUCUAAAAAAAAAAAAAAAAAAGCAAGAAACAACAAAUUUCUGAAAAGGAACCAGGAAAAGGAAUAAAGAUUAUCCUUGUUGAUGUGGUCAGUGUGAUGGCUGCCUUUGAGUCCAGGGAUAAUAACAGGAAGAGUUGACCUCGAUGUCGGCAUCACCAUGAUACUGCAUCAAACGCAGGAGGGCUUUGUCAGUCCCGCUACUCUCGGUCUGCGGCCCCUCCUUAACGUCAUGCAGAGGGCUGGAGGAGAGGACAGGAUGGAGAGAACAGAGCAGAGAGGGAGGGGGAGCAAAGACUGUGGUGCCGUCUGUUUAUCAGGACUGUAAGGGAGAAUUCCUGAUGGAGUGAUAAGGAAAACAGGCAAACAGAAUCAUAAAAAUAGAAAGAAUUCAAAUGAUGAGAGGGAGGGCGGAUGAAGGGAGGAAAGAAUUUUGUUGAACAUUUCAUGUUUAUGAACGUGUGUGUGUUGGACUCAUAUAAUUAUAUAAUAUAAUGUGACUCUCUCUGGUGCAGUUGUGGUUAGACCGCUAUUGUCUCCUGUCCCUUCACCUGGGUGAGAAUGUGCCAUGAGUGGCAGGCUUAGAAUUUUGGCUCUUGUUUUAAGAAUUCCAUUGUGUGGUUUCUGUUUUAGAUGCAUCGUGUUUAAUUUGCCUUGUGCUAUUCAAUUUCUGUUUGCACACAACAGCUCUGCUGACAUCCCUCAGCCCUGUUCAAUUCCAGCCAGAUGUUUUCAGCGGGAAACCACAUGACAAAUAACUGUACCCCAGAGUCAAUGCUACCAAGACCUCAUCUCUUAGUAGUUGAGUGUCAUAGUGAAGACCAAAUAAGCAAGAUCAUAAACAAACACAGAAUCAAAUAUUCUAGUACUAGUUUUACAGCUAUGCUUUCAUAUUCAGCAUGAUAAAAAUGUUGGCCUGGUCCCAGAAUUAAAAAAACAUAUCCUUUAUGCAAGGCAUUGUGUAGCCAAUGAGAUAUAGGGGAUGAUUUUGUGGCCUGAGAGAGCCAGUUUUAGUAGGAAACCAAGACACCUGGAUUAACACCCCUACUCUUUCAAAAAAAGUUCCAUGGGAUCUGUAAUGACCACAGAGAGUCACAACCUUAAUCUGAAGGAUGUUAAUGUUAACGUACUUCUUUGAGGAAACAGAGUGUGUAUCAGGCACUAGAUUUGUGGUAUCAGCGAAUGUUGUGGGAAGUGUGUAUAAAACAAUGCCUCAAGUGGAUAUUUAGAGCAGCAUUUUUCAAAGUGGGUGCCACAGCACUCUGGGGUAAUAGUGUGUUGUUCCUGAG